AUGUUGGGUUAAGUCCCGCAACGAGCGCAACCCUUAUCCUUUGUUGCCAGCGGUUCGGCCGGGAACUCAAAGGAGACUGCCAGUGAUAAACCGGAGGAAGGUGGGGAGACGUCAAGUCAUCAGGGCCCUUACGAGAAGGGCUUACACACGUGCUACAAUGGCGCAUACAAAGAGAAGCGACCUCGCGAGAGCAAGCGGACCUCAUAAAGUGCGUCGUAGUCCGGAUUGGAGUCUGCAACUCGACUCCAUGAAGUCGGAAUCGCUAGUAAUCGUAGAUCAGAAUGUUACGGUGAAUACGUUCCCGGGCCUUGUACACACCGCCCGUCACACCAUGGGAGU
rnacentral:rRNA from 1 species